CAACUUUUGCUAACCCAAAUCUCUGGUACCUCUCUUCUUACCUAAAUAAUUUUUUAACAAUUGUUUUUCUCUCUUCACUCCCUCCCUCCGUUGCAGCUCCUGCAAAAGGAAGACAGACUUAUCUAUUUCCAUUGUAGCUCUAGCGACCAACCGAAGAUCAACGUUCGCGAGGGAGACUAGCGCCGGAUCUGCUUCGGUGGAGGAAGAUCCAUCGCCGAAGACAUUCUCCAAAGACGAAACAACUCGCUGAUCUCUCUUUCAUAGAUGGAUUCACAAAAUAAUUCUUAUUACACAAGUCUUUUAAGUGGAGGAUCAAGCAUCGAUGAAACAUUUUUGGAGGAUAAGUAUGGUGAACCUAAUGAGGAUAGCCCCACUAUCCCUCGAAGCACCAAUACCCCUUCCAAUGGUAGGAGGGGUCAAUGGGGAACCAACUUUUGGUUCUACAACUUCUUUAGCAACAAUGCUACUAAAAUUUGAUGAAGAAUGUACAAAAAGAGAAACCCGAUAUGAUCGAGCAUUCUCACAACAAUAAGAAUUGAUAGAUAUUGAGGAGAAAAAAUAUCGUCUCAAAGAAGCAAUGGAAGAGGAAAGAAUCAUGCUUAUGGACACCACUAGCAUGCCUCCAGGUUUAACAACAUAUUACGAGCGUCGCAAGGAAGAAAUAUUAGCUAGACAAGGCCUUGAUUGAACGCUGAACAUAGUUAUUUUUAGUUCUCUGUUUAACUAUUUAAGUUCUAAAUUAAUAUAUAUGAACAGUGGGUUUCAUUAGAGAAUGGAUAUUAAGUUAUUUUUAGUUGCAUUUGUUAUGAUAAGUUAAAGUUGAAGGUAGUUAAAAGUAUUAUGUUAGAAAAUAUUAAAAUAUUUGAUGUGAUGUUAAAAUUGGGUAUGUGGUUGGAAGGAUGUUAGAAAACUGGUAACCUAAAAUGCAUUUUACUUAAAAUAGGGGAAACUGUGUUACUCAAAAUGAGUAACUGGGUUGGACUUGCUCUUAGGUAUUCAGUGGUUCUCAAUGGUGAGUCAUGUGUCGUGGGAUUUUCAGAAUUUAACGAUGUAGUUCACUACUGGUGAGAAGAAACAUAUGUUAAAAGGGAGAAUUAAACAAUCUUCCAUUAAUUCAAGCAUAUUCAUUACAUCAUAUGGAGAAGCAGUUACAAGGUACUGGUUUGGGAUUAUUUUUUUAUUCCUAAGAAAUGGUGGCUAUUGGAAAGGAGAGUAUUAUUACUAUUCAUCAGACUAAGGAGUUACAACUUUUGUUGGAUGAGUUUGAAUCAAUUUUUCAAGUUCCUACUGCAUUGCCUCCACAAAGGGAACAUGAUCAUAGAAUACCUUUAAUAGAGGGAGCUAAACCUACCAAUAAAAGACCAUACCACUAUGGACCUUUACAAAAGUCUAAAAUAGAGAAAGUUGUGAGUGAGCUGUUACAAGCUGGUUUCAUUAGAGCCAGCCAUAGUCCAUUUUCCUCUCCUGUAUUGUUAGUUAAAAAGAAAUAAGGGACAUGGAGGAUGUGUAUGGAUUAUAGAGAGCUGAAUCAAUUGACAAUUAAGGAUAAGUAUCCCAUACCUUUGAUAGAUGAUCUGUUGGAUGAAUUGUAUAGAGCAAUGUGUUUCUCUAAACUAGAUUUGAGGUCUGGUUACCAUCAAAUAAGGAUUAGUGAAGAUGAUAUUGGAAAGACAGCCUUUAGAACACAUGAAGGCCAUUAUGAGUUCUUGGUCAUGUCCUUUGGGUUAACAAAUGCUCCUACAACAUUCCAAGGACUUAUGAAUGCAAUUUUUAAAGAAUUUCUUAGGAAGUCUAUUUUGGUUUUCUUUGAUGACAAACUUGUUUAUAGUCCAAGUUGGGAAAGUCAUUUGUUGAAUUUGAAAAGGGCUUUCAGUAUAUUGAAACAACAUUAACUUUGGGUUAAAAGGCAAAAUGUGCUUUUUGACAGCAGAAAAUUGAAUACUUGGGACACAUAGUAUCAAGGGAAGGAGUUACUGUA